rnacentral:rRNA from 1 species
UGGGGAAUAUUGGACAAUGGGCGAAAGCCUGAUCCAGCCAUGCCGCGUGUGUGAAGAAGGUCUUCGGAUUGUAAAGCACUUUAAGUUGGGAGGAAGGGCAGUAAGUUAAUACCUUGCUGUUUUGACGUUACCGACAGAAUAAGCACCGGCUAACUCUGUGCCAGCAGCCGCGGUAAUACAGAGGGUGCAAGCGUUAAUCGGAAUUACUGGGCGUAAAGCGCGCGUAGGUGGUUGGUUAAGGUGGAUGGGAAAGCACCGGGCUCAACCUGGGAACUGCAUCCAAAACUGGCAAGCUAGAGUACGGUAGAGGGUGGUGGAAUUUCCUGUGUAGCGGUGAAAUGCGUAGAUAUAGGAAGGAACACCAGUGGCGAAGGCGACCACCUGGACUGAUACUGACACUGAGGUGCGAAAGCGUGGGGAGCAAACA